rnacentral:rRNA from 1 species
AGAAUUGACGGAGGCCGCACAAGCGGUGAGCAUGUGGUUAAUUCGACGCAACGCGAAGAACCUUACCAGGGCUUGACAUCCCCUGACCGCGUAUGAAAGUACGUUUUCACCUCGGGUGACAGGGAGACAGGUGGUGCAUGGUUGUCGUCAGCUCGUGUCGUGAGAUGUUGGGUUAAGUCCCGCAACGAGCGCAACCCCUACGUUUAGUUGCUAACGCGUGAAGGCGAGCACUCUAGACGAACUGCCGUUGACAAAACGGAGGAAGGUGGGAUGACGUCAAAUCAUCAUGCCCCUUAUGUUCUGGGCUACACACGUGCUACAAUGGCCGGUACAGACGGACGCAAAGCCGCGAGGUGGAGCAAAUCCUAAAAAGCCGGUCUCAGUUCGGAUUGCAGGCUGCAAUUCGCCUGCAUGAAGUCGGAAUCGCUAGUAAUCGCAGGUCAGCAUACUGCGGUGAAUACGUUCCCGGGCCUU